rnacentral:rRNA from 1 species
AUUGAACGCUGGCGGCAGGCCUAACACAUGCAAGUCGAACGAGUGGCGGACGGGUGAGUAAUGUCUGGGAAACUGCCUGAUGGAGGGGGAUAACUACUGGAAACGGUAGCUAAUACCGCAUACCAUCGGAUGUGCCCAGAUGGGAUUAGCUUGUUGGUGGGGUAACGGCUCAACAAGGCGACGAUCCCUAGCUGGUCUGAGAGGAUGACCAGCCACACUGGAACUGAGACACGGUCCGGACUCCUACGUGAGGCAGCAGUGGGGAAUAUUGCACAAUGGGCUGAAGCCUGAUGCAGCCAUGCCGCGUGUGUGAAGAAGGCCUUCGGGUUGUAGAGCACGUUCAGCGGGGAGGCGUUACCCGCAGAAGAAGCACCGGCUAACUCCGUGCCAGCAGCCGCGGUAAUAC